AUACGGAGGGUGCAAGUGUUAUUCGGAAUCACUGGGCGUAAAGGACGCGUAGGCGGGUUGGCAAGUCAGAUGUGAAAUCCUACAGCUUAACUGUAGAACUGCAUUUGAAACUGCUAACCUAGAGUAUGGGAGGGGGAGAUGGAAUUAGUGGUGUAGGGGUAAAAUCCGUAGAUAUCACUAGGAAUACCGAAAGCGAAGGCGAUCUCCUGGAACAUAACUGACGCUAAGGCGUGAAAGCGUGGGGAGCAAACAGGAUUAGAAACCCUAGUAGUCC
rnacentral:rRNA from 1 species